UCUUCCCUCUUUCUUCGUGCCUAAUACAUGCAAGUCGAGCGAACGGACGAGAAGCUUGCUUCUCUGAUGUUAGCGGCGGACGGGUGAGUAACACGUGGAUAACCUACCUAUAAGACUGGGAUAACUUCGUGAAACCGGAGCUAAUACCGGAUAAUAUUUUGAACCGCAUGGUUCAAAAGUGAAAGACGGUCUUGCUGUCACUUAUAGAUGGAUCCGCGCUGCAUUAGCUAGUUGGUAAGGUAACGGCUUACCAAGGCAACGAUGCAUAGCCGACCUGAGAGGGUGAUCGGCCACACUGGAACUGAGACACGGUCCAGACUCCUACGGGAGGCAGCAGUAGGGAAUCUUCCGCAAUGGGCGAAAGCCUGACGGAGCAACGCCGCGUGAGUGAUGAAGGUCUUCGGAUCGUAAAACUCUGUUAUUAGGGAAGAACAUAUGUGUAAGUAACUGUGCACAUCUUGACGGUACCUAAUCAGAAAGCCACGGCUAACUACGUG
rnacentral:rRNA from 1 species